rnacentral:rRNA from 1 species
AUAGGGGCACGGGUGCGUGUGCGUAUGCGUCUACCUUUUUGAAGGGAUAACCCAGAGAAAUUUGGAUUACUACCUCAUAAUAUAACUGAUUCUCAUGAUUCUACUAUUGGAAUCACAACGGUAAAAGAUGAGCAUGCGUCCCAUUAGCUACUUGGUAAGGUAACGGCUUACUUAGGCUACCAUGGGUAGGGGUCCUGCCUGGGAGAUCCCCCGCACUGGUACUGACACACAGACCACACUCCUACCGGAGGCAGCCAUGAGGAAUAUUGAUUGAUGGGCGCAAGCCUGAUCCAUCCAUGCCGCGUGCAUGAUGACGGACCUAUGGAUUGUUGACUGCUUUUAUACGAAAAGAAAAACUGCUUCGGGAAGCAGCUUGACGGAAUCGUAAGAAUAAAGAUCGGCUAACUCCGUGCCAGCAGCCGCGGUAAUACGGAGGAUCCCGCGUUAUCCGGAAUCAUUGGCUUUAAAGGGUCCGUACGCGGCUUAAUAAGUCAGUGGUGAAAGCCCAUCGCUUCUGGUGGAACGGCCAUUGAUACUGUUAAACUUGAAUUAUAAGGAAAUUCCUAGAGUAUGUAUUGUAUGCGGUGAAAUGCUUAGAGAUUACAUGGAAUACCAGUUGUCUCGCAGGUGACUACUAAUGGAUUGACGCUGAUGGACGAAAGCGUGGGUAACAAACACGAUUAGAUACCCUGGCAUUCACGCCGUCACUAAGGGAUACUAGACUGUUGAGUGCUACUCAGCGGCUAAGCGACAGUGAUAAGUAUCCCUCCUGGAGUACUACGUUCGCAGAAUGAUCUCAGAGAGUGACGGGGGCCCACACAAGCGGAGCAUGUGUGGUUUACUUCGUGAUCGCGAGCACCUUACCGUUGUUAAUGGAGAUUGUGCGUGUAGAAACAGACCUUUCUCGCGACAUUUACAGUGGCUGCAUGGUUGUCGUCGCUCGUGCGUGAGUGUCAGGUAAGUCCUACAACGAGCGCAAUCCUUGUUGUAGUUGCAGCGAGUCGUGUCCGGGAACUUUACAAGAACUGCCGGGUCAACUGUGAGGAAAGUGGGGAGCUAACGCAAACCUCGGGCCCUUAGCCUUGGACUUACGAUGCUCAAAUGGCCCGG